AGAGUUUGAUCCUGGCUCAGAACGAACGCUGGCGGCAGGCCUAACACAUGCAAGUCGAACGAUGCCUUCGGGCAUAGUGGCGCACGGGUGAGUAACACGUGGGAACAUACCUUUCGGUGGGGGAUAACUUCGGGAAACUGAAGCUAAUACCGCAUACGCCCCUUGGGGGAAAGAUUUAUCGCCGAAAGAUUGGCCCGCGUCCGAUCAGCUAGUUGGUGAGGUAAUGGCUCACCAAGGCUCCGAUCGGUAGCUGGUCUGAGAGGAUGACCAGCCACACUGGGACUGAGACACGGCCCAGACUCCUACGGGAGGCAGCAGUGGGGAAUAUUGGACAAUGGGCGCAAGCCUGAUCCAGCCAUGCCGCGUGAGUGAUGAAGGCCUUAGGGUUGUAAAGCUCUUCACCCACGACGAUGAUGACGGUAGUGGAGAAGAG
rnacentral:rRNA from 1 species